rnacentral:rRNA from 1 species
UACAGAGGGUGCAAGCGUUGUUCGGAAUCAUUGGGCGUAAAGGGCGCGUAGGCGGUCAGGUAAGUCGAAUGUGAAAGCCCAGGGCUCAACCUCGGAUCGGCCGUGGCGACUCGUGGGCUGGAGCACUGUAGAGGCGGGUGGAAUUCCGGGUGUAGCGGUGGAAUGCGUAGAGAUCCGGAAGAACACCAGUGGCGAAGGCGGCCCGCUGGGCAGUGGCUGACGCUGAGGCGCGACAGCGUGGGGAGCAAACAGG